rnacentral:rRNA from 1 species
AGAUUGAACGCUGGCGGCAUGCCUUACACAUGCAAGUCGAACGGUAACGGGCCUUCGGGUGCCGACGAGUGGCGAACGGGUGAGUAAUGUAUCGGAACGUACCAUUCAGUGGGGGAUAACGUAGCGAAAGUUACGCUAAUACCGCAUAUUCUGUGCGCAGGAAAGCAGGGGAUCGCAAGACCUUGCGCUGAUUGAGCGGCCGAUAUCAGAUUAGCUAGUUGGUGAGGUAAAAGCUCACCAAGGCGACGAUCUGUAGCGGGUCUGAGAGGAUGAUCCGCCACACUGGAACUGAGACACGGUCCAGACUCCUACGGGAGGCAGCAGGUGGGAAUUUGGACAAGUGGGGGCAACCCGUGACUCCGAGCCAGUCGCCGCGUGAGUGAAGAGGCCGUUCGGUGUAAA